AAACCGCCUAGAGGUAAACGGGUGGAUCCGCAAAGUCGGCUUGCGAAAUUCAGCUCGGAACGUUGGCGUGGUUGGCAGGCGAAGAUCUCUCAUGGACUUCCCUGCUGGCUGGUCGCUAGCACGACGUGUGCACUUUUCGCAGGCAGAGCGCCACGACCGGUUCUCGGGCAGUCAGAAGGCGGCAGGGAAGGUAGGCGGGCGCCUCGUGCGUUUGCUGUUAUAGCCCUGCUUGUCCCGAUCUGCUCUUGGGGACCGAGGAGCCGCCGUCCGGCUUGCAGCUAUCCCGCUCUCCCGUGAGGUUCGACUGGUGGAGACUGGGCAACCGUGUCUGCCGACCGCCUCAUUGGACAGAUCGGGGGUGAACCUUGUAGCUGGCUUGGACACAGGGUCAGUGGCGAAUCGGUCGGCACUCCACCCGACCCGUCUUGAAACACGGACCAAGGAGUCUAACAUGCGCGCGAGUCGUUGGGUAGUACGAAACCCGAAGGCGAAGUGAAAGCGAGGGCCGUCCUCGCGACGUGCUCAGGUGGGAUCCCUUUCAAGGGGCGCACCACCGGCCCGUCUCGUUCGCGCUGUCGAGGAGGCGGAGCAAGAGCGUGCACGUUGGGACCCGAAAGAUGGUGAACUAUGCUUGAGUAGGAUGAAGCCAGAGGAAACUCUGGUGGAGGUCCGCAGCGAUUCUGACGUGCAAAUCGAUCGUCAAACUUGGGUAUAGGGGCGAAAGACUAAUCGAACCAUCUAGUAGCUGGUUCCCU
rnacentral:rRNA from 1 species